rnacentral:lncRNA from 1 species
GCUCAGGCCUUUAACCCCAGCACUCUGGAGAUUCAGUAGGCAGAGACAGGUAGAUGCUAAUCUUGUCUACAAAAUGAAUUCCAAGAAAGCCAGAUACACAGAGAAACCACGUCUCAAAAAAAAAACAACAACAAAAGAUGAUUCCAUAACAUUUCAGAAUAUAAACUAGCAUGGCCUUAUUAGGAUACAAUUUGUUGCUUUCAUUUCUAAAGUUUUAAAUGGGUAUAAUUUGUCAUAUUCUAUCUUAACCAAGUGUCUAUAUACAUUAGUAGUAAAAAGUAUGAUGUACUGAUUGUUAUAGAUAAGCAUAUUGAACCUAUCAAGAUUAACAUGGAAAUAUCUUCAACAAGUAAAUGAAAAAAAAAAAGGAAAGGAAUACCAUGAUCCUAAUUCAUUUUAAAUAAAACAAUCAUGUUUUUUGUAAAAACACAAUGGUAACAGAAGAAACAGUUUGUUGCAGUUCUAAGAAAAGGAUUCAAAGUGAGUAUGGCAUAGACUAUUUGGCUAAGACUCCAACCAAGUAAAAAGGUGAAAGAUUUAGCUUAGAGGAACCUCUGAUCUGAUAAUGUAGGAAGAGCCCUACAAUUAAGAAGACUGGGAGGAGUAGAAAGAACUGCCUUUUUAAUAUUAGCUUUAUUAACAUCUAUUAAGAGGAGUAAUCAAAAUCCAAAAUCAUCAUUUGCAGGUCCAAUUACAGUAACUGAUUAAGACAAAUCUUAUUAGUGGGUGCUAAACCAUUAGAUGACCAGUUGCAGGGAAAACAAAUCUUCAAAAUGACAAAUGUGUUAUCCUACAAAUUCUACAAAAAAAGGGUCACAAGUACCUUCUACAUAGAGAUUCUUAAGGUUGGUCAUCACUUAACCAAGUUAUCACAUCACAAUUUAACAUUGUGUUCAUCAUAUAAUAGGAAUUAUAUAAAAUCAUCUAAAUAUUCUAGCCCAAAACUGUUAUUUGUUCUCAACCUAACCAAGAUCCAACUGAUUUCUAGUUUAUAGGAAAUGGAAAGGUAAGAGAAGAGCAAGUGAACUGUCAUCAAGAAGUUAUAAUCAGACAAAUACUACUAUAAAACUACACAGAGAUGGCUCAGCCGUUAAGAGCACUGACUCCUCUUCCAGAAGUCAUGAGUUCAAUUCCAAGCUACCACAUGGUGGCUCAAAACCAUUUGUAAUGUGAACCAAUGCCCUCUUCUGGUGUGUCUGAAGACAGUGACAGUGUAUUUACAUAUAUAAAAUAAAUAAAUCUU